rnacentral:rRNA from 1 species
GCGCGUAUUGCCCUUAGAGUUGAUCCUGGCUCCCGAUGAACGAUGGCGGCGUGCCUAACACAUGCAAGUCGAACGAAGCACCUUGAAGUUUUCGGACGGAAGACUGACUGUGUGGCGGACGGGUGAGUAAGGCGUGGGUAACCUGCCUCAUACAGGGGGAUAACAGUUAGAAAUGACUGCUAAUACCGCAUAAGCGCACGGAUCUGCAUGGAUCAGUGUGAAAAACUCCGGUGGUAUGAGAUGGACCCGCGUCUGAUUAGCUAGUUGGUGAGGUAACGGCCCACCAAGGCGACAAUCAGUAGCCGACCUGAGAGGGUGACCGGCCACAUUGGGACUGAGACACGGCCCAAACUCCUACGGGAGGCAGCAGUGGGGAAUAUUGCACAAUGGGGGAAACCCUGAUGCAGCAACGCCGCGUGAGUGAAGAAGUAUUUCGGUAUGUAAAGCUCUAUCAGCAGGGAAGAAAAUGACGGUACCUGACUAAGAAGCCCCGGCUAACUACGUGCCAGCAGCCGCGGUAAUACGUAGGGGGCAAGCGUUAUCCGGAUUUACUGGGUGUAAAGGGAGCGUAGACGGCUUAGCAAGUCUGAAGUGAAAGCCCGGGGCUCAACCCCGGAACUGCUUUGGAAACUGUUAAGCUGGAGUACCGGACAGGUAAGCGGAAUUCCUAGUGUAGCGGUGAAAUGCGUAGAUAUUAGGAGGAACACCCAGUGGCGAAGGCGGCUUACUGGACGGUAACUGACGUUGAGGCUCGAAAGCGUGGGGAGCAAACAGGAUUAGAUACCCUGGUAGUCCACCCGGUAAACGAUGAAUGCUAGGUGUCUGGGGACAAAGUCCUUAGGUGCCGCCGCAAACGCAUUAAGCAUUCCACCUGGGGAGUACGUUCGCAAGAAUGAAACUCAAAGGAAUUGACGGGGACCCGCACAAGCGGUGGAGCAUGUGGUUUAAUUCGAAGCAACGCGAAGAACCUUACCAAGUCUUGACAUCCCGAUGACCGGUGUUUAACAGCGCCUUCUCUUCGGAGCAUCGGAGACAGGUGGUGCAUGGUUGCCGUCAGCUCGUGUCGUGAGAUGUUGGGUUAAGUCCCCCAACGAGCGCAACCCUUAUCCUUAGUAGCCAGCGGUUCGGCCGGGCACUCUGAGGAGACUGCCAGGGAUAACCUGGAGGAAGGUGGGGAUGACGUCAAAUCAUCAUGCCCCUUAUGAUUUGGGCUACACACGUGCUACAAUGGCGUAAACAAAGAGAAGCGAGACCGCGAGGUGGAGCAAAUCUCAAAAAUAACGUCUCACUUCCCAUUGCAGGCUGCAACAAGCCUGCAUGAAGCUGGAAUCGCUAGUAAUCGCGGAUCAGAAUGCCGCGGUGAAUACGUUCCCGGGUNCGUAUACACACCGGCCGUCAAGGGCGAAUUCGUUUCCACAUAAAGGCACUGGGCCCCUUAGUGAGGUAAUUCGAGCUGAGUAUGCCAAC